rnacentral:rRNA from 1 species
GGGAGGGUCAUUGGAAACUGGGGAACUUGAGUGCAGAAGAGGAGAGUGGAAUUCCACGUGUAGCGGUGAAAUGCGUAGAGAUGUGGAGGAACACCAGUGGCGAAGGCGACUCUCUGGUCUGUAACUGACGCUGAGGCGCGAAAGCGUGGGGAGCGAACAGGAUUAGAUACCCUGGUAGUCCACGCCGUAAACGAUGAGUGCUAAGUGUUAGAGGGUUUCCGCCCUUUAGUGCUGCAGCAAACGCAUUAAGCACUCCGCCUGGGGAGUACGGUCGCAAGACUGAAACUCAAAGGAAUUGACGGGGGCCCGCACAAGCGGUGGAGCAUGUGGUUUAAUUCGAAGCAACGCGAAGAACCUUACCAGGUCUUGACAUCCUCUGACAACCCUAGAGAUAGGGCUUCCCCUUCGGGGGCAGAGUGACAGGUGGUGCAUGGUUGUCGUCAGCUCGUGUCGUGAGAUGUUGGGUUAAGUCCCGCAACGAGCGCAACCCUUGAUCUUAGUUGCCAGCAUUCAGUUGGGCACUCUAAGGUGACUGCCGGUGACAAACCGGAGGAAGGUGGGGAUGACGUCAAAUCAUCAUGCCCCUUAUGACCUGGGCUACACACGUGCUACAAUGGGCAGAACAAAUGGCAGCGAAGCCGCGAGGCUAAGCCAAUCCCACAAAUCUGUUCUCAGUUCGGAUCGCAGUCUGCAACUCGACUGCGUGAAGCUGGAAUCGCUAGUAAUCGCGGAUCAGCAUGCCGCGUGAUACGUCCCGGGCCUUGUACACCACCGCCCGUCACACCACGAGGAGUUUGUAACACCCGAAGUCGGUGAGGUAACUUUUGGAGCCAGCCGCCGAAGGUG